AUACAUGCCUGGAAAGGGAGAUACCAUGAUCACGAUGAUGGUUUGCCAGGGUGAGGCUUAUCUGUUGCACUCUAGAUGUGCUGACCCUGCCAUUUCCUCAAAAGUGAGAAACUUGACUGUUAAUUUGUGGUAGUGGGAGACUAUGUUCAUGCUCUUCCC